rnacentral:rRNA from 1 species
UACGAAGGGGGCUAGCGUUGUUCGGAAUUACUGGGCGUAAAGCGCGCGCAGGCGGCUAUCCAAGUCAGUGGUGAAAGCCCGGAGCUCAACUCCGGAACUGCCAUUGAAACUGUUUAGCUUGAGGACUGGAGAGGAGACUGGAAUUUACGGUGUAGCGGUGAAAUGCGUAGAUAUCGUAAGGAAGACCAGUGGCGAAGGCGGGUCUCUGGACAGUUCCUGACGCUGAGGCACGAAGGUCAGGGGAGCAAACGGG